GGAGGCGUCAGGGUUCCUGGUGGGCCCCUCGGUCUUCAAAACCGAUGAGACCAGCCUUGCUGGUCUGGCGGGUUCGAUUCCCGUCCGCCUCCGC
rnacentral:tRNA from 1 species